GUGCCAGCAGCCGCGGUAAGACAGAGGGUGCUAACGUUGUUCGGAAUUACUGGGCGUAAAGCGCGUGUAGGCUGCUCUGCAAGUCGGAUGUGAAAGCCCUGGGCUCAACCUGGGAAGUGCAUUCGAAACUGCGGAGCUGGAGUCCUGGAGAGGAUAGCGGAAUUCUCGGUGUAGAGGUGAAAUUCGUAGAUAUCGAGAGGAACACCGGUGGCGAAGGCGGCUAUCUGGACAGUGACUGACGCUGAGACGCGAAAGCGUGGGGAGCAAACAGGAUUAGAUACCCUGGUAGUCCACGCCGUAAACGAUGGGUGCUAGGUGUCGCGGGCUUUGACUCCUGCGGUGCCGUAGCCAACGCAUGAAGCACCCCGCCUGGGGAGUACGGCCGCAAGGCUAAA
rnacentral:rRNA from 1 species